rnacentral:ncRNA from 2 species
AGUCGUCCGCACGGGAGCCCGCGAAGGGCUGAGAGGGAGCAAGCGCUCCGACCGUGGAACCUGAUCCGGGUCAUGCCGGCGCAGGGAGCGUGAUCUUCGAUGAG